GAGGAUGCAUUUCAAAAGUUGUUUGAAUCCACUAAAAUGCUUAUUCAGCUGCAACAGUCAUGUAAGUGUGACGUACAGGUUAAUAAUGUGGGCUAAUUCAGAUUUUGCUGUGUCACAGAUCCAUGUUUUCCUCACCUCUAAGAGCUGUGACUGUGGGAUAGAGCCAUUAGUUUCCUGACACCACGCUACCAUCUGCUCCGGAAAAAAGUUCUGUGAGAGCAAGAUAAAGGGUGAGAGGAUCACCUCACCAAGAGCGGAUGCCUUUCUUAGUAGACAAUUACAUAAGAUGAUUGUUACUAAACUGAGGGCAAAGAAUGGAACAAGCUCUGAAUUUGUUACAAGGCUCCCUUUCCUCACUGUGGAACUGUUUCAGAAGACCGUCCAACCUCAUAUACCUAGCUCUCUCUCUCUCUUUCUCUCUCUGUACUGAAUAUAGGUCACCUCAUAUAACUGCAGCCUCAACUUAUAGAGCACAAAAACGGGCAUGUAAGUGCAAGCAUGCACACACACCCACUCACCCAACUUCUGGCCAGUGGCCACAUAUGACUAGAACACAACAAGAAAGAUUUAUAGGCUUUUACACUGUGUGUUUCCUCAAGUGUGUGUCUCUGUAUGGGAUACAGGACUACUGCCCUCUCGCCCUGCACUGUAGGAAGCAGCCAACAGUCCUCAUGAAGAAAAUGGCUUAAUAUAUUGAGUAUGGCCUUUUUUGAGGGACUCAAUUUCUAAAAUAUAAAAGCAGCUAUAUUUAUGUAUAAAGGAAGUAUUAAUUGAACAUGUCAUGUUAACACUGUAACAUUUGAAAGCCCUAAAAAUAAUAUAAUAUAAAAUGUACAUAAUAUAAAUUCUCACC